rnacentral:lncRNA from 1 species
UCAAGGAAUUGCACCAAUUCUUGCGGGUUAAACUAAUCUCCUCAUGCCACAUGGACUUGGAAACUGUUGACUUACAUGAAAUGGGCUUCUUGUAAGAUCACUGAAAUUGGAGUGCUCCAAUUAAUAAGGUCCACUUUCCAUGCGAUGUAGUUGAUUGAUGGACCUCACAAUCAACCAUAUAUAUAUAUAUAUAUAUAUAGAGAGAGAGAGAGAGAGAGA